rnacentral:rRNA from 1 species
GUUGAACGCUGGCGGCAGGCUUAACACAUGCAAGUCGAGCGGGGUGAUGGUGCUUGCACUAUCACUUAGCGGCGGACGGGUGAGUAAUGCUUAGGAAUCUGCCUAUUAGUGGGGGACAACAUCUCGAAAGGGAUGCUAAUACCGCAUACGUCCUACGGGAGAUAGCAGGGGAUCACUUGUGACCUUGCGCUAAUAGAUGAGCCUAAGUCGGAUUAGCUAGUUGGUGGGGUAAAGGCCUACCAAGGCGACGAUCUGUAGCGGGUCUGAGAGGAUGAGCCGCCACACUGGGACUGAGACACGGCCCAGACUCCUACGGGAGGCAGCAGUGGGGAAUAUUGGACAAUGGGGGGAACCCUGAUCCAGCCAUGCCGCGUGUGUGAAGAAGGCCUUAUGGUUGUAAAGCACUUUAAGCGAGGAGGAGGCUCUUUUGGUUAAUACCCAAGAUGAGUGGACGUUACUCGCAGAAUAAGCACCGGCUAACUCUGUGCCAGCCGCCGCAGUAA